GCGAACGGGUGAGUAAUGCAUCGGAACGUGCCCAGUCGUGGGGGAUAACUGCUCGAAAGAGCAGCUAAUACCGCAUACGACCUGAGGGUGAAAGCGGGGGACCGUAAGGCCUCGCGCGAUUGGAGCGGCCGAUGUCAGAUUAGCUAGUUGGUGGGGUAAAGGCCUACCAAGGCAACGAUCUGUAGUUGGUCUGAGAGGACGACCAGCCACACUGGGACUGAGACACGGCCCAGACUCCUACGGGAGGCAGCAGUGGGGAAUUUUGGACAAUGGGCGCAAGCCUGAUCCAGCAAUGCCGCGUGCAGGAAGAAGGCCUUCGGGUUGUGAACUGCUUUUGUCAGGGAAGAAAUCUUCUGGGCUAAUACCCCGGGAGGAUGACGGUACCUGAAGAAUAAGCACCGGCUAACUACGUGCCAGCAGCCGCGGUAAUAC
rnacentral:rRNA from 1 species